AUCGGUAGACGCUACGGACUUAAAAUCCGUUGACUUUUAAAAUCGUGAGGGUUCAAGUCCCUCUAUCACUCCCCCAA
rnacentral:tRNA from 1 species